ensembl:lncRNA
AUGAAAUCCUUCCCGGGAUGGUUGGAGGCAGCGCCUGCUCCCAGCACCGCUCAGGGAAGCCUUAAUGAAAAGCAGCUCAUCAGCAGUUACGUAACCUAAUGAUAAUCCAGCUCAGGCCGGGCAAUGCUUAAAGCCACAGCGUCUCUCUGCUGUGACCUAUUUUAUGCUCGAUGCAAGGGCAAAAGUAUGCAGUGUGUAACUUCGCCGGGUCUCUUACGUCGAGUCGUUGCCUGUCGUAGGGUAAAUACACCGUUCCUCAUCACGCCGGACAAGUUAAUGACACAGCUGGUUGCAGAAAGGAGCUUGUAACGUUGCGCCGAGCUGAAGAAACACCGCCUGUUAUGUGUAGCACGGAAGAGGAAUGAGGAUCCACUGCAUGAUUCCAUCAGUCUACAAUUCUAUGAUUCAACAUUUUUCUUUGCUUUGGUUGCUUUUCUUCCCCAUUUAUGCAUAUGGAACAACUUUCCCUGUUGGUCAGCUGCUGUGGCUGCAGAUAGGAGCAAGAAGGGAGCUGGAGCAGAGCAAGGGCAGGGAAAAUUGGUCCAAUUCAGUGACAGUUCCAGCCUCAAACACGGGUAGCUCUGUGUGUCUCCUGCUAUCAGUCUGUGCUACUCCUGCAGCAAGCUGGAUCCAUGACAUUGCCAGUGCUUUGGGGUGCUGGCAUCCGGGCUCUGAGCUCAUGAGGGUCCUAUGUGAGGUUAGAGAAUCACACUAUCAUGAAAUUAUGGAAUCAUUAGGGGUUAGGAGGGACCUCUGGAGAUCAUCAACCCCCUGCUAAAGCAGGUUCUCUGCAGUCAGUACAAAUGGCAAUAACCUGACUUGGAGAGGUUGCCUGUGCUCUGGCUGGCUGAAAAUUACUACGAAGAAGAUUUACAGUGGAGCACUGUCGUUGGAGUGACCAGAGAUGUGAAAGGAGAAUCAACAUGCCCAUUAAAACUGAAUGAAUGUAAAAUCCCACAGCAGAGUGGAAACUGAAACUGGGAAUGGGAAGUGCUCAGAUUGUGUCUCUGUCCUUUUGGUAUACGGGAUCCUCCCCGAGCAAGCAGCAACCUGUCGUUUCAGCAAUGCAAGGCUUCCCCUCAGUGGCAACAAGGCAGCAGGGUGUCCUGCUGCUACACCACAAUAAAAGCAUUUUGCUUUUUUUUUUUUUUUUCUUCAAAGGCAAAGUCCAGUAAAAAUGUGGCUCUGAAGUAAAGGAAAUAUUUACAGCAGAGGCUGCUGGCUGGGCUGGGUGUAAUGGUAUACAGCAAUACAAGAGGCCAAAGUGAUACUACUUUAUGAGCCAAGAGUUUUUAACUCUUUUGGUAUAGGAGACAGCUGCCUACACGAGGCACUUAGGGAACAAAUGAAACUUGAGCGGUGUCAUACUGGGAUCAUAGAAUAUGGACAAAAGCAACAGAAAGGAGUAUAUUUUUUUACAAGAAAAGGAUUAACUGGAGAACAGUGGUUGCAGUGCUAAAGCUCCUACCCAAGUGCAGCUGGCGAGAUUGCUGACAGCGCAGGGGGCUCUCCCAGAAAUGAGUUCUUCCUGCAAAAAUACCCAUCCCCAUCAACAUCUAUUAUCUAAAAGGUGAUGUCCAGGUUGAUUUAAUUUCCAGUCCUGGAAAUGAAAUGGGACCAUGGUAUUAGGAGACAUGUGAGCUCAGAUUAUGCAUACAAAAAAGACGACAGCCAAAUUGUCUAUGUACGGGCAGACUGCAUUUGCCUUACCCCAAAAGAUUUACCAGUUGCUAUGGUUACUCAAUAUUACAGCUCAAUAGAUUGGUAAUGUGAACUGAUAGAUCUAGAAAUACACUGCAAGAUGGAAUUAAAGAGGUCCUGCUGAAACACAGCCUGAAAAAUCCUGUGCUCCUGAUGAGGCGGAAACACUUUGCUGCUGACGGGCUGGUCAUGGUUCCCAGAUGCGUGGCAGGGGUCCCACCAAAUAGCAGUGAGAUGUGUGCUUGGUGUCUUGUGCAGCCAGAGGUGUAAAACACACGUCAAAGGGAUAAUAAAACACAGUCCAAACUGUCUCACAUGGAAUCUCUUGAGUAAAUCAUGGCCGAGUCUCAGCAAGUACAGG